rnacentral:rRNA from 1 species
UACGUAGGGUGCAAGCGUUGUCCGGAAUUAUUGGGCGUAAAGAGCUCGUAGGCGGUCUGUUGCGUCGGCUGUGAAAACCCGGGGCUCAACUCCGGGCCUGCAGCCGAUACGGGCAGACUAGAGUUCGGCAGGGGAGACUGGAAUUCCUGGUGUAGCGGUGAAAUGCGCAGAUAUCAGGAGGAACACCGGUGGCGAAGGCGGGUCUCUGGGCCGAUACUGGCACUGAGGAGCGAAAGCGUGGGGAGCGAACAGG